rnacentral:rRNA from 1 species
GAUGAACGCUGGCGGCGUGCCUAAUACAUGCAAGUCGAGCGCAGCAAGGAGGGGUGAGUAACACGUGGAUAAACUCCUAUACGUCUGCAAUAACUUCGGGAAACCGGAGGUAAACCGGCUACUUCUAUAUGGAUCCGCGAUGCAUUCGCUAGUUGGUAAGUUAACGGCUUACCAAGGCCACGAUGCAUCGCCGACCUGAGAGGGUGAUCGGCCACACUGGAACUGAGACACGGUCCAGCCUCCUACGGGAGGCAGCAGUAGGGAAUCGUCCGCAAUGGGCGAAAGCCUGACCGAGCAACGCCGCGUGAGUGAUGAAGGUCUUCGGAUCGUAAAACUCUGUUAUUAGGGAAGCGGUACCUAAUCAGAAAGCCACGGCUAACUACGUGCCAGCCGCCGCGGUAAUAC